UACGUAGGGUCCAAGCGUUAAUCGGAAUUACUGGGCGUAAAGCGUGCGAAGGCGGUUGUGUAAGCCAGAUGUGAAAUCCCCGGGCUUAACCUGGGAAUGGCAUUUGGGACUGCACGGCUAGAGUACGGCAGAGGAGACUAGAAUUCCUGGUGUAGCAGUGAAAUGCGUAGAUAUCAGGAGGAAUACCGAUGGCGAAGGCAGGUCUCUGGGUCGAUACUGACGCUCAUGCACGAAAGCGUGGGGAGCAAACAGG
rnacentral:rRNA from 1 species